GAUGAAGAACGUAGCGAAAUGCGAUAAGUAGUGUGAAUUGCAGAAUUCAGUGAAUCAUCGAAUCUUUGAACGCACAUUGCGCCCCUUGGUAUCCCGAGGGGCAUGCCUGUUCGAGCGUCAUUUCACCAGUCAAGCCUGGCUUGGUGUUGGGCGACGUCCCCUUUGGGGACGCGCCUCGAAACGCUCGGCGGCGUGGCACCGGCUUUAAGCGUAGCAGAAUCUUUCGCUUUGGAAGUCGGGGCCCCGUCUGCCGGAAGACCUACUCGCAAGGUUGACCUCGGAUCAGGCAGGGAUACCCGCUGAACUUAAGCAUAUCAAUAAGCGGAGGA
rnacentral:misc_RNA from 1 species